AACGAACGCUGGCGGCGUGCUUAACACAUGCAAGUCGAGCGAGAAAUUUCCCGCUUGCGGGAAAGAGUAAAGCGGCGCACGGGUGAGUAAUGCAUGAAUAACCUGCCCUCAGGUCUGGGAUAACCCCGUGAAAAUGGGGUUAAUACCGGGUAAUAUCCAUUCAACCAUGGUUGAAUGGGUUAAAGGUGGCCUCUGCUUGCAAGCUAUCGCCUGGAGAGGGGUUCGUGUCCCAUCAGUUAGUUGGUAGGGUAAUGGCCUACCAAGGCUAAGACGGGUAGCUGGUCUGAGAGGACGACCAGCCACAUUGGCACUGAAACACGGGCCAGACUCCUACGGGAGGCAGCAGUGGGGAAUAUUGCGCAAUGGGCGAAAGCCUGACGCAGCGACGCCGCGUGAGGGAAGAAGGCCUUCGGGUCGUAAACCUCUGUCAGGUGGGAAGAACCCCUCCUUAUCAAAUAGGUUUGGAGGGUUGACGGUACCACCAAAGGAAGCACCGGCUAACUCCGUG
rnacentral:rRNA from 1 species